rnacentral:rRNA from 1 species
AAGGAAGCACACUUCGGUCAUAGAUUAAGCCAUGCAAGUGCAAGUUCCAGCAAUAGCUUAAACUGCGAACAGCUCAUUAACACACUUUGAAUUUCCUUGACAACCUUCUCACGAAGUUAUAUGGCUAGCAGGAGUAAACUCGUGCUAAUCCAUGCAAUUGUUUCAUCGGAAGUGAUUUACGAUGUCAAAGUUCACCCAUUUGGGGGUGUCAAUCAACUGAGUGACCUAUCAGCUUGUACUUAGGGUCUUUACCUAGGUAGGCUAUCACGGGUAACGGGCGGUUACCGUCGUACUGCCGGAGAAGGCGCCUGAGAGAUAGCGACUAUACCCAUGGGUAGCAGCAGGCGCGAAACUUUCCCACUCUUCAAUGAAGGAGGGGGUAAUGACCAGUUCCUUCGGGAUAGUCUGCAAGUUUACUUCUUGCAGGUAGCAAGCAGAGGGCCAGUCUGGUGCCAGCAGCUGCGGUAAUACCAGCUCUGCGAGUUUGCUCCCAUAUUGUUGCAGUUAAAACGCCCGUAGUCUUAAGUCUUUUGUAGGUUUGAUAAACUGCGAAUAAAUCAGGACGCUUAGGGUAUUUUUUCAAAGAAUGACCUAGCGCAGUCUUUUAUCUUUUUCCAUUUGGAAAAUCUCAAAGAGAGCCAUCGGGGGUAGCUCUAUUCCAUGGCGAGCGGUGGAAUGCAUUGACCCAUGAGGAGAGAAUCUAAAGCGAAAGCAACUACCAAGAGGGUUUCUGUCGAUCAAGGGCGAGAGUAGGAUUAUCGAACCGGAUUAGAGACCCGGGUAGUUCCUACUGUAAACUAUGCCGACAAGGUCUUGUGCUUUUUUAAGCGCAGUGCCUUUCCUGAAAAGAUAGUUCAUGGGCUCUGGGGGAACUACGACCGCAAGGCUGAAACUUGAAGGAAUUGACGGAAGGGCACACCAGGGGUGGAGCUUGUGGCUUAAUUUGAAUCAACACGGGGAAACUUACCAGGACCAGAUGUUUUAUAUGACUGCCUGUUUGAAGGAUAUGCAGGAUUUUACUUUUGGUGGUGCAUGGCCGUUGGUGGUGCGUGGGUUGACCUGUCUAGCGUUGAUUCAGCUAACGAGCGAGAUUAUCAUCCUCCUUUAUAUGAGGACACUCCCUUUUUUAAAAAGGCGGAAGAGGGUAGCAAUAACAGGUCCGUGAUGUCCUUUAGAUGCUCUGGGCUGCACGCGCGCUACAAUGUGAGUUUCAAAGAGUUGCUCUCUUGCGAAAGAAUGCUACUCUCACAACGUCUCACGUAGUUGGGAUUGAUGAUUGUAAUCAUCAUCAUGAACCAGGAAUCCCUUGUAAAUGUGUGUCAACAGCGCACGUUGAAUACGUCCCUGCCCUUUGUACACACCGCCCGUCGCUCCUACCGAUUGGAUGACUCGGUGAAAUUGCCAGACUCAAUUGAGAACGGUACUUAAAUCACGUUGUCUAGAGGAAGGAGAAGUCGUAACAAGGUAACG